GGUCUGCUUACUGUGGUUGACCACGGGUAACUGAGCCUCAGAAGGCAAAACUGAAGAUAAGGGGAGCUGCCAUGUCACUCAUCCACUCCCAGCACAGCCUGGGGAGGGGAGGAUCACACCCUCUGAGCUGAGAUGGUAGCUGUCUCAAACAGGGAGAUCAAAUCCCAACCUCAAGACCCACUGGCAAAUUAAGCCCUUCUUGCCGGCACAGCAGAUGAAUGGGCGACCCAGGAAAACUGCACUCAAAGAAACGUCUUGUAACAGUUCUAACUUUGGUUUGGCAUGUCACCUCUGUAACGAUAUCAGGGAGAGGAAAUAUUCCGUCAAAGCUGUGAGCAUGGAAGGAAACAGCCUGGAUGGUGUCCAAAGACACACAGUAUCUUAGCAACUUCUGAAGUUCAGAAAAGCCAACAUUUCAGUUUGGGAAGCCGUCUGGUAGAAGUUCCGUCCUACCCCACCACAAUCACUGAAAGACACACCUUAAGGUGGAAGUGGCCAUCGUUUUCAGGAUCGACUACCCAAGCUGCUGAAAUGAAGUGGCUGUCAGGGGCAGGCAGCUCUUGUCAAGAAAACAAAGCAAAACACUACUGCCAGAAACAUAUGAAAAUAGGGAUAACCAGGAGUCUAGAAAAGCUUUCCUAGCUUCCUUUGGAGCAAGGGACAGCCACGUGACACAAUUCUGACAAGAUGUAGAUAUGAUGCCUGGAGCUGCAACAGCUAUCUUGCUACAAUGAGGCAGCAAAACCAAGGGGUAAAAAACCCUAAAGCACCAAGAGGGGCAAAGCAGAGAAAAAGGAAGAGUUCAUGCCAUGGAUGUCAUCACCGAGCAGCAUCAUCAGUGCCAGUUUCUGUAAACCUUGGAUAUCCAGCUAGCUUUGUAAGGAACAUAGAGCCUUGCAGUUUUGUAAACCACUGUUAGCAUUCUUAUGGUUGUUAGUUUAUGAUAACUUGUAGCUGAAUGCCUCCCUCAUUGAAGUGCUGUCUUGACUGGCCAUCCAGAGAAGGACUUUGAGCCCUCCUUGUGAGUUUCAGUUUUGAAGUACAUUUCAUUUAUCUUCCA